GAAUCACGGCAUCUAUGGCCGCCCUGUUAGAGAAACGAGCGCAAUUACCCACGACCUCAGCUUUACACCUGUCCUUCUGUAGCCCAGCGGACCCAACGGACCGUCUAGUUCUCCACGCUAAACCCUCCAGGAUCAAAAAACCCAAAGCAACACCACGGGUGCAGCCCCGACCCCAGGCCCCCGCCCCGCCUCCUGCCAGGCAGUUUCUUCUUCCUUCCGGAAGCGCGGAGGCCCCGCCCACUGCCGCAAAGCCGAGCCUGCGGCGCGACACGCCGGGCCUCAGCCAAUGGCCUGAGUCCCAGGGAACGUUACCUCUGACCUCAGGGCUGAUCGGAGACAGUAGGACGUACUCCUCGCGAGAGGUGAGGUUGAAGCUGCCUCCGCCAUCUUGGAGAUGGGAGACGGGCGAUGGUUGUGAUCCUUCUGCUAAUGCAAACAACAAAACGGGCACAUUAGUCACUCUGAGUGAGGCUCUCAUCACUCUAACUGUUGACCAAAGCUACAGAAGCAGCGAGGGUGUCAAGCCGAUCGCGGCGAUAUUGAUAGCUGCCUCCACUGCCCGCUGGGGCGGCAGAAGUGAAGUAACCGAGGACCGGAAGGAUGGUGCAGUCCUGUUCCGCCUACGGCUGCAAGAACCGAUACGACAAGGACAAGCCCGUUUCUUUCCACAAGUGAGUACCCUGCCUGCGCGCCCGGCGGCCUCGGCCCCUCCUGGGGCCGCGGGCGCGCGGCCGUGCUCGGGGGCGGAGCCGGGCGCGUGUCCGCGCGAGAGCCGCGAGGGGGCGGGGCAGGGGCGGGGCCAGGGCGGGGCGCCGUCGGGCGCGGCGGCCCUGGAGCGGCAGGCGAGUCCCCGGAACAGUCGCCGGCGCCCCGUCCCGGGGGGCGCGUUCCCGGCGCGCGUCGCCGCCGCGGCGGCCCGUCCUCGCGCUCAGGUUCGCGCGCCGCUCGCGGUGGUGGCGAGUUCGGGGCCCGCAGGCGACGCCUGGAGCCCCUCCCCCCCCCCCCCGCGCGGGUCGUGAGGGGUCCAGACCCGGAGGCAGUUGAGCUUCCCCACCCGCGUCACGGAGAGGGCAGGGAGGUGGGAGCAGCAGCAGGGACCGCGGAGGCCCGCGUUCCCCAACCCCGCCUCACAGCGGGGAGGCCACUUGGCCGGUUGCCUGGGAGCAGCUCUUGGACCCGGCUUCCAGGACCCCACCCUGAAGGGCCGCGGAGUUUCAGAGAAAGCUCCGGGCGCUGCGAGGACGAGGACUUGUGUGUCGCGCCCGGCGGUAGCGCGGGCAGUGACAGCCUGUCGGGCGCGGCGAGGGUCUGCACGAUGCCAUUUCAUUCAGCCAAGUUCGAAUUUCUGAAAGCUGGUGAAUUGGCCUCCAGGACUUCCAGAGUGAAGGAACAGGUCUGGAGAUGGUGAUGCAGUCGCAGGCAUUCAGCCCCCACCUCCACGUUUCUAAUGAUCUGGCAGAGGGCAUCUAAGCCUCCCGAAGACCCUCCACUGGCUCUGGUUAAGGAUGACAUUCACACAUCAGAAAUGCUGAGUUUCUGCUGGCUGUUAAAUACUUGGUUUUUUCAUCCAAAGAAGGGCUAACCUGCCCCUCACCCCUUAUCUAGAAGAAUAGUUUUGGGAAGUGAUUGGGAAAGAUCUUGACCUCAGAGACAAACUGCAUUGUAGUCCUUGAGUCCGCAGGCCCUGGGUGCUGAGUUAUACCAGUGAUUGCUAUCAUGUUGUCCUUCUAGAGGCACUUCCAGCAGGAGCAUUCUAGGAGUCCUUCUUUUCUCAGUUUCUACCUGGUGGCAGUGGGAACAGCUAUGCUGGGCAAAGAAAAGGGACUGCCUGCAAGGUGGGUUAGAGCUUCCUGACCACGGCAGAGUCAGGCUCCAGCGUACCUCACUUGGAAGAGAAACUGUGCAACACAGAUUCGAAACACCCUCUUUUGGCUUCUUUCCAAUCCCCCCAGCUCACUAAAUCCUUGACCUGGAAGAAUAAAAUCACAAUAAGUUUAAACUCUUCCUACCUCCCUUUAUCUGGGCCCAGUGGACAUAUUUCAGUUGAUUAAGAGGUAAAUCAGAAUGAAUGCUUUAUUUCUGUUUGACUAUAUUUUGAUUAAUUCAGAUUCAUCAGACUGAUUCUAAGAGAACUAAAAGCUGCUUUUUCUUGGUACAUGGUUAUGAAUGUGCAGUUUUGCUUUACAAUACACAGAAAAUCACUGGUAAAAAAAUAAUUAAUACACAUUGACUCUAUAGCAUGUAUAUUUUACCUGGAACUUUUAGUGUCUUCAGGAUAAAAAGUUAAGCAUUAAAAGCUGAGAUAAAUAGAUAGGUGGAGCUAUAUGACUUACCCUUGUGUAUUCAGAUAUGUGUGGAAUUCCUGUAUCUGUUAGUGAAGGUUAUUUACUGCGCGUGGGCCUUCGACCCCCAACCUUCUGUCACCUAUUCUGCCAGCUGCAUACAUCUAACCACGUGGCUACCUUUUAAUAAGCAUAUUUUUACAUAAUGUAAAUUCUUAAUAAGCCUGUCCUGUUUAGAUUGUAUGCGUUAUUAUAUGUGACAUUCUUAUAACUGCUGUGUGAUCAAAAAGAUUCCUAUAAG